UACCGGGGUAUUCCAGGCACCAUAACCACUACAUAGUGUUGUAGUGGUUAUGGUGCUUGGAGUGUUCCUUUU